CAUCUCAGUGAAGAUUAGAGUAUGAUUUUAAAAGUAGUGGACAGAAUUCCAUUGUUGAUUAUCAUCAUUCUGAGAGAUU